rnacentral:rRNA from 1 species
AUGACGAGGUUGCUCCAGAGGGGCGACCCCCAUGACGAGAGAGGGCCCUCUGCGUACAUGGCGCAGCGGCGCUCACCCCCGGUUUCAGAUGUACAUGCUGGCGUUCAACACCACGGAUGGACAGAGGCUGGGCAGAACCCAGCCAUGUACGUCCAGAGGCGGUUGCCGGACAGGCUGGAGGAUGAGGAUAGCGCGAGCGCGAGGCGGAGUACACAGGAGGUGACUGGGUCGCACUCGACAUGCGGCGGAUUCGGCCCACGCGGCCAGCGCGUCAUACGGGUCCGCCAACGCCGCCCGAAAUACCACCAGCAGUCCAACCUCAACACCUCCUUGUUCACCGGCAUCGGCAUGUCGCCCGUGAACAGCGCGGGCGCCCCGACGAGGAACGACAGGAGGAGAAGGAGCACACGCGUAGGAGCCGCCAUUUUCUGA